UACGGGAGGCAGCAGUGGGGAAUAUUGCACAAUGGGCGCAAGCCUGAUGCAGCCAUGCCGCGUGUAUGAAGAAGGCCUUCGGGUUGUAAAGUACUUUCAGUCGUGAGGAAGGUGUUAAGGUUAAUAACCUUAGCAAUUGACGUUAGCGACAGAAGAAGCACCGGCUAACUCCGUGCCAGCAGCCGCGGUAAUACGGAGGGUGCGAGCGUUAAUCGGAAUUACUGGGCUAAAGGGCACGCAGGCGGUUAAUUAAGUUGGAUGUGAAAUCCCCGGGCUUAACCUGGGAAUGGCAUUCAAGACUGGUUAGCUAGAGUCUUGUAGAGGGGGUAGAAUUCCAUGUGUAGCGGUGAAAUGCGUAGAGAUGUGGAGGAAUACCGGUGGCGAAGGCGGCCCCUGGACAAAGGACUGACGCUCAUGUGCGAAAGCGUGGGGAGCGAAACAGGAUUAGAUACC
rnacentral:rRNA from 1 species